UACGAAGGGGGCUAGCGUUGCUCGGAAUCACUGGGCGUAAAGCGCACGUAGGCGGCUUUCUAAGUCAGGGGUGAAAUCCUGGAGCUCAACUCCAGAACUGCCUUUGAUACUGGAGAGCUUGAGUCCGGAAGAGGUGAGUGGAACUCCGAGUGUAGAGGUGAAAUUCGUAGAUAUUAGGAAGAACACCGGUGGCGAAGGCGGCGCACUGGUCCGGUACUGACGCUGAGGUGCGAAAGCGUGGGGAGCAAACAGG
rnacentral:rRNA from 1 species